UCCAAUAAAUGAAAUAUCACCAUUGAAAGUUGAAUAUAUUUUUUUUAAAUUGAAAAUAUGAGAAUCAUCGUUAUUAUUUUUCUUAUUUUUUCAAUUCAUUUUGGAAAUGAGGUACAAAUGAUAAAUGCAAAAGAAUGUAACAAAGUUGUAGCUGGUUUAUGUCGUACCACUGGGAGGACUUUGAUUUGCAAAAUACAUUGCAAAGCAUUAUGUGGAUCGUUUUCUGCGCAUGGAGAAUGUAGAGAAGACAAAGAUUGUCAUUGUAAUUGUUGUUAAAUUAAAUGGUUUUAUAGAUAACCAUGAAAUAUCACAUGUGAAGUGGCUAACUCAUAAAUAUAUUAAUAAAGUUAUUUGAAUUCUAUA